rnacentral:rRNA from 1 species
AGGAUGAACGCUGGCGGCGUGCCUAACACAUGCAAGUCUAGCGAUCUUCUUCGGAAGAGAGCGGCGGACGGGUGAGUAACGCGUGGGUAACCUGCCCUGUACACACGGAUAACAUACCGAAAGGUAUGCUAAUACGGGAUAACAUAUGAAAGUCACAUGACUUUCAUAUCAAAGCUUUUGCGGUACAGGAUGGACCCGCGUCUGAUUAGCUAGUUGGUAAGGUAACGGCUUACCAAGGCGACGAUCAGUAGCCGACCUGAGAGGGUGAUCGGCCACACUGGAACUGAGACACGGUCCAGACUCCUACGGGAGGCAGCAGUGGGGAAUACUGCACAAUGGGCGAAAGCCUGAUGCAGCAACGCCGCGUGAGCGAUGAAGGCCUUCGGGUCGUAAAGCUCUGUCCUCAAGGAAGAUAAUGACGGUACUUGAGGAGGAAGCCCCGGCUAACUACGUGCCAGCAGCCGCGGUAAUACGUAUGGGGCUAGCGUUAUCCGGAAUUACUGGGCGUAAAGGGUGCGUAGGCGGUCUUUCAAGCCAGAAGUGAAAGGCUACGGCUCAACCGUAGUAAGCUUUUGGAACUGUAGGACUUGAGUGCAGGAGAGGAGAGUAGAAUUCCUAGUGUAGCGGUGAAAUGCGUAGAUAUUAGGAGGAAUACCAGUAGCGAAGGCGGCUCUCUGGACUGUAACUGACGCUGAGGCACGAAAGCGUGGGGAGCGAACAGGAUUAGAUACCCUGGUAGUCCACGCCGUAAACGAUGAGUACUAGGUGUCGGGGGUUACCCCCCUCGGUGCCGCAGCUAACGCAUUAAGUACUCCGCCUGGGAAGUACGCUCGCAAGAGUGAAA